AGCACUGCUGUCACCCUCCUGGACUUGAGUGGACUGUUUGAUAUCUUAAAAAGAUUCUUCUCCAUUACAAGUUAUUACAAGAUAUUGAAUAUAGUUCCCUGUGCUAUACGGUGCUGUGCUCAGCACUGGAGUCGAGAUGAAGAUUUCCCAUCUUCAAGGAGCUCACAGACCAUGAAUUUAAUGAAUACCUGCACAACAGUAUUGUUUCCUCUUAAUUACCAUAACUCAAGAGGAUGAUAAAAGAGAAGAUCACAUGAAUGUGUGCAAUGAACCUAGCCCAGUGCCUGGCACGGAGUGGACACUCAAUCAUCUUUCCAGAAGGAUGACACAAGAGCAGAG